rnacentral:tRNA from 1 species
CGGACUGUAGCUCAGCUGGUAGAGCACGACACUUUUAAUGUUGGGGUCGCGGGUCCGAUCCCCGCCAGUCCGACCA